rnacentral:rRNA from 1 species
CAACUUUCAACAAUGGAUCUCUUGGCUCUCGCAUCGAUGAAGAACGCAGCGAAAUGCGAUACGUAAUGUGAAUUGCAGAAUUCAGUGAAUCAUCGAAUCUUUGAACGCACCUUGCGCCCCUUGGCAUUCCGAGGGGCACACCCGUUUG